UAACAGAUCAAAGAAGAGACUGUUCCACCCAAGUCUAUCUUGGAGUCUCAGAGACUGUUGACUUGGAAGCUUCAGACCUGCCGUCUAGUCUAAACCCAGCGUUGCCACUUAAUGAACCAUGUCACUGGAUGCCGGGGUCACUUAGGAAUUGAUCUCAGGACCUCUAAAGGAGCAGUCAGUGCUCUUAACCACUGAGCCAUCUCUCCAACCCAAGGACUCUUUGUAAACAAGACAAUUGUCCUUCUUUAAAAAAAGACAGAAAAUACUUUCUAUUUUAUCAGAUAACCUUGGAAGCAAAGGUUUGUUUCUCUGUAGCAGUGGCCCUCAACCUUCCUAAUGCUGAGACCCUUUAAUAUAGUUCCUCAUAUUGUGAUGACCCCCAACCAUAAAAUUAUUUUUGUUGCACUUCAUAUUUGUAAUUUUUCUCCCAUUAUGAAUCAUAAUGUAAAUAUCUGAUGCAUGGGAUAUCUGGUACACGACCCAUGUGAAUGGGGUCAUUCGAUCCCAGAGGGUCUUGAACCACCUCUUGAUAGGCAUGUUCAAGUUGUUGUUGCUGUUAUAGGAGUUGUUUUUAUGGUUCCAAGUGAGGUUUUCCUGUUUCCAGAGGCCAAUACUGUGUACCCAAAGAUUUUAGAGUCUUGGCCCACACUCAGAGUCUGAAACAAUAAAAAAUGCAUAUUUUAUUGAAUACCCCACCCCCAGCGCCACCCCCAGCAGCAGGUGCUCAAUGCAUCAUGAGGAAUGUCUCUAGGCAUCCUACAGAGAGAAAAAUGAAGACUUA
rnacentral:lncRNA from 1 species